rnacentral:rRNA from 1 species
CAACGAAUAUUCCGCAAUGGGCGAAAGCCUGACGGAGCGACGCCGCGUGCAGGAAGACGUCCCUCGGGAUGUAAACUGCUGUCAGGGGCAAGGAAGAUCUGACCAGCCCCAGAGGAAGCCUCGACUAACUCCGUGCCAGCAGUCGCGGUAAUACGGAGGAGGCGAGCGUUGUUCGGAAUCACUGGGCUUAAAGCGCGUGUAGGCGGAUCGGAAAGUGUCUUGUGAAAGCCCCCGGCUCAACCGGGGAAUUGCUGGGCAAACUAUCGAUCUUGAGGCAGGUAGGGGCGUGUGGAACUCUAGGUGGAGCGGUGAAAUGCGUAGAUAUCUAGAGGAACGCCGGUGGCGAAAGCGACACGCUGGGCCUGAUCUGACGCUGAGACGCGAAAGCGUAGGGAGCGAACGGGAUUAGAUACCCCCGUAGUCC